CAGCAUUAAAGGCCCACUUCAUAUUCAUAGUCAUAUAUUUAAUUCAAGUACUUCCCGAAAGUUUUUUUCUGUAAUUGUCCCUUGUUUAUGCAAAUACCAGCAGACACUGGAAAGCUUCUUGCUUCAGCAUACCACUAAUUAAAUCAUCUUUAAAAUUGUUUUAAAUUUAGUAAUUUAAGUUUUUAAAAAUGUAGUAAUGAGGAAAAGAUACCACUGUGACUCUUAGAAUAUGAUAUCAAUAAAAAUAAGGAGAAAUUCAAAUUUUAGGUUGCCAUAUGGAUAUGGUUUGUUUGGCCCCACCAAGCUAUGGUUUUAGAUAUGGUUGUUUGGCCCCACCAAGCCUUAUGUUGAAAUCUGAUCCCCAGUGUUGGAGAUGGGCCUCAUGGAAGGUGUCUGGAUCCUGAGGGCAGAUCCAUCAUAAAUGGCUGGUGCCAUUCUCAUAGGAAUGAGUUCUCACUUGUAGUUCCCAUGAGAACUGUUGUUGAAAAGAGCCUGGCACCACCUACUCUCUCUUGCCUCUUCUCUUAUCAUGUGUUCUCUGCACAUGUCUGCUCCCCUUCCCUUUCCACCAUGAAGGGAAGCAGCCUGACAUUUUCACUAGAAGCAAAUGUUGGUACCAUGUUCCUUAUACAGUCUGCAGAACUCUGAGCCAAAUAAGCCUCUGGUUUUUUUUUUUUUUAAUAAAUUACCAGCCUCAGUUAUUUCAUAGCAACACAAAUGGACUACGACAUGGGUUAAGAGAUCCAUUGCCAUCCUCAUUUUGAUCCUCACCCCCGCCCUUCUUCUCUUGUGAUGGGUCAGAGAGAUGAGUUAGGAAAAACACAUGGAGACGAUACAAAUCCACUGUCGCAUCUUCUGUGCCUCUUAGCUAUUCUGCAUUUAGCUCCCGACUCAUCCAUCUGAUAAAGAAUCCUGCUCUAAGGAAAUGCAGUUACAAAUAUAUUUUGCCACUCAUUGCGAAGAGUCAUGAAAGGGGAUCAUGAGUACUUGUCAGACCAGUACUUUUUAUGUCAAUUGUCAGUUCUAAGAUGAUGAAAUUUGGAGUUGGCCAUUUGCUUUCUCUGAGCCAGAAAAUUAGAAUAAUGCACAGGUAACUGAGUAUUAACUUCAUCUUCAAGUUCUUAAAUUCUCUUUGGGUUUGGGGUCCUCCACUGCAGUAUUUUGAACUCAGACUUAAGGACAGCAAAUGCACACACUUAUUAACCCACCCUCCACAGGAAAUCCACAUGUGUGAAUAGCAUAGAUACAUACACACACUUGUUCAUAUGUAUUAUUCUUGUUCCAUUAACAUGCCCAUUUGUGCACUUCAGCUUCAAGAGGACCCUACUCACUUACUCAAUUAUCUUUUUAAUCCUUUUCUUUUUCACUUCUAGCCACUUUUCCCAUGAGAAUUUUCCAAAUAUUCUCAUUUCCUUUUCCAUUUUCUUUAAGGAAAUGGAAGUAAUUGGUUUCAAAGAUGAGAUCAAAUGAUCCAAUGUGGGCUUCAUCAGUUUUCUCACCAUUCAUCUUAGAAUGUUUCUCUACUAUCACUUUUCUUCUCUUUACCUUCUUUUGUCAGAGAUAAGUAACUCCUCCUAUUUCUUCAAAUCUAAUUCUUCUAUUUUGUGUCUGUAACCACUUCCCUCCUGACUGCUCCAGAAUCUUUUUGACUUUUUUUAAUGACUGCUUCAUAAAUUGCUUUCUUGAAGGUCAUUGAUUGUUUCCAAGUAUAAUGGACUCUUCUCAUUUAGUCAUUAAUUCAACAGAUAUUUGAGUUUAUACCAUAUACCAAAUUUUAUAUUAAAUGCUUAGGCAAUUAUAUGAGAGAAUAGGGAGCUCAUAAUCUAAAGCAAGGGUCGGCAAUUUUUUUUUUUUUUAGUGAAGGGACAGGUAGUAAAUAGUUUAGGCUUUGUGGGUCAUACCUUCUUUGGCAUAACUACUCAACUCUACCCUUACAGCGUGAAAGCAGCCAUAGACAAUACAUAAAUGAAUAGGAGUGGCUGUAUUUCAGUAAAAUUUUAUAUAUAAAAAAUAGGCAACAGGUUGGCUUUGGCCUGGGUGUCAUAGUUUGCUGACCCCUUGGUCUAGUCUUUAGUUUUUCUGAUCUACAUAUAAUAUUGAUUACUCUUUAUCACCCCUCUUUUGAAAUCCUCUCUUGAGUUCUGGAAAUUCAAAGUUUCUGGUAGUCCUACCUCUCUUAAAGCCUAUUGUGUGUGUCUUUCCUACUUCUGUCUACUAGGUUGGUAUUUCUCAAGGUCCUGUUUUUGGUCCUCUUACUUGUCUUCUCUAAACUUUCUAGACAUUGCAGUAUCUGAAUUGCUCUCCAUUCUGCUGAAUCUAUUUUCAACAUGUCUUUGUCCAUCUGAGCCACCAGCAUCUCCCACUUUGUACAACUAAAAAUGAAGCCAUUGUCAUUUUCAUCUCUCUAGCACACCUGCUCUUCCUUAUUCCUUCUUUUUGCUUAUCUGUCUCAUUUUCUAAGUGGAGGACUUUGCCAGGAUGCUCAUAGCAAAAUAUUCUAAGAGCACACAGAAAACUGUGACAUCCCUCUUACCUCUGGAAGAUUAGCCACUCUAUAAAACACGUUCACUUUUAUGGAAGUUAAGGAAGGUCAUUGGAGGGCUUGGCACGGAGUCUUCACCCAGCAUGUUAGGACCUCUAGCCACCUCUCAGUUGGCAGUCCCUGUUGGGCAUAACCAGCUGGCCCCUCUGUUUUCUUGUUGACCCAUGUGAGCAAACCUUGGCCUGUAACUUGCAGCUCUUUUCCAGAAUGUGCCCUGACUUGGGCUUUGGCAAUAAAGUAGGGGCUGUAACUUUAACUAGCUCUUCCUUAAACAGUACCACCUGUUGCCAUCUAUCUGUGAAUUUACUCCAUCUUGCUCAAAGGCAGCAGAUGCCAUGGGUAUUUUUCCUGCUGUAUAAAGGGGAAUGGGAAUCUGGCUUCUUUGGGAAAGGGAGAGUUAAUGUCUCUUUCCCCAAAUGAUUGGAUGAUCACAUUUUAACUUUAUAUGUUUCGUGGCUCUAGUUCUUGGAAACACAUGGAAGAUUGAGGUUUGACUGCUUUCUGCGACUAAAAUAGCUCUCUGGUGGUCAUUCAUAAUUUAGUAUAUAUGAUUUGAAUUACAUUCAUCAGAUAAACAUAUUCUGCUUCUAUAAUUAAUAAUGCCAGAGAGCAUUUAGAUAUUGGGGAUUAUUACAACGAUUUUUAUUGUUCUUGGCUUACUACGAAAGUAACACAUGACCAGAAUUUGAAAAUUUAGGGAAUAAAAAUCUAGGUAAUACAAAUGGAAAUAAACAAAAAUUUUUGAAAAUCUUAUAACUCAGAGAUAACUACUUCUAAUAUUUUGUUUUUAAAGAUGCAUAUAAAGUAGAAAAUUCUGUAAUACUAUUUUGUUUUUUUCACUUGAUAGUCUAUCAUGAACCCUUGUGAAAUGAAAUAUUUUAAGACACAGAUAUGAAGGGACGAAGGAAAAGCUUUGCUCCUACCCCAUCUUUCAUGUCCCUACUUCUUACCCUCCACUCCCCAUAGGUAACUACCUCUUUCGUUGAUUUUUUUGAAUAUCUUUUCAGAGUUUCUUUAAAUGAUAUAAGCAACUUUAAGUAUGCGCUCUUAUUCCCCCACAACUUUUAUAACACAAGGUAACACUGUAUACAUACUUUUUGUCUUGAGUUUCUCACUAAAAAUAUCUUUAUACUCUUUCUGCAGCAUUAUCAAUGGCUACAGUAUUAUUCUGUUGCUUUAUUGUAGUGUAAAUUAUUUAAUUCCCUAUUUUUGGACAUUUAGGCUAUCUCAAAACAAUCUUAUAGAUGUAUCUUUGCAUACAACCUAUGAUUAUUUCCUUAGGAUAAAUUAUUUGAGAUUAUUUGCUGGACUUUUGCUUCAUGUUUCCAAAUUUUUCCUGAAAGGUUAUUCCACUUUAUACCUUCCCCAGCAAGACUUGCCAGCAGGUAAAAGAGGGAAAUAAGUUAAAAAGAGGCUAUUUGCAACAGUGAACUUUUAAAAUAUUAUACUCAAGAAAAAUAAAUACAGAAAAGCAAUGGUAGAUUGAUAGUUUUCAAGUUAUGGGAGGAGAAGAAUUCAGUGAGAGGUGACUGGGCAUAAUUGAGAGAAUAUGUUGGAACUGGAGUGGGAUGUGAGUGCUAGUCUUGCCGCUGACAUGGGAUCUGGGAUCAGUCACUCAGGUCUUCAAGUGUGUUUUCUCAUCACUGAAAGAGGGAAGAAUGCUUACUGAGUUUAUUUGGCCCAUUUUGUUCUAAAAGGAUUUAUGAAGAUGAAAUAUGAGGGAAUCUUUCAGCUCUAAAAUUUUUAAUUUUAUAACUGUACCUUCA
rnacentral:sRNA from 1 species